AGGGCCCGAUACUUGCUGUACGUCAAGGGCAUGGCCGAAACCUCGGUGUAACCCGUGGCGACCUGAGACCGCUGGUCUAGGUCUUGGGUCCGGAGCGGCGGUAAGUACUUAGGUUUAAGCUAGGAAUUUAUUGGUUUCGCUUAUGUUCUUCUUCCGUUCUCCAAUGUGCUCGCAUGAAGUGCACCUGAUCCGUCCACCUUCCUGCCUCUGCACUGAUCGCCUUAUCUUAGAUUUAGUUCUUAGUAACCGAUUGCUCUAGUUCCUGAUUGGCCUGAAUGGCGACCCUUCCGUCUCGCCUCCGUACUUGUCGUAUAUAGAUCCGUGGUUUGGCUUUUCCUGGCAUCAAUGUGGCUAGCUCGGUGCCUUCUUCCGUUGUUCUUGAGCAGGGCUUGCUCAGCAAGGUGAGGUGUCGCCUUCCAAUUCUGGUGUACCGUCCACACUUCCGUGACACGGGCCCGGCUAUCCACAGGUCUCUCCUCCUACUGGUGUUCUCGGCUUUCCUGGGGGUCUGCUUCCUCUGGCCGGCAUUCCGGUUCAAACUUUCGGGUCUCUUCCCUUGGCGCCUUCUGUGAGUUGCUCUGCUGGCUGCUGCCUGUCCCGUGUGAUGUCAUAUUGGCUGGCUUCUUAAUCUCGGGAUGCUUCCCGUAGGGUUCCUCCCCUGGCUCUGGGGUUGCCGCAAGCACUGCUACCAUCUUCACUGGGCCCCCUGUCGGCGGUUUUCUUCCCUUGGGCUAUCCUGUCCAGGUUGGUCGGGUUGCCCAUUAGCUGUUGACUCGUUCUAGCGUUCUCUUCAGCAGUUCCCCGGGUUGCAGGUACCCGCUCCCUUGGGGGUAGCCUGCAGUCGUCUCAAUCAUGUGUUCGCCCAGCUUCACCCUUCUCCUAGCAUUCCAGCCAUGGACCAGGAAGUUGCUUAUCAGCGGGGUCUGGCCGAGGCCAACCAGUGGCUCCUGGGACCCUUAGCUUCUUCUACGGUGUCUCGCCAGGACGGUGCUGCUGCUGAGUUUCUGGGUUGGCUUUUGAGGAGUCAUGGCCGUGGGUGAAGCUGGUGGAGUUGUACGACAGACGACAUGCUCGUCUACAUGACGGUUUGGUGGCUGCCCCGGCAUCAGGGCCGGGGUGGUGGUCCCAUUGGGCCUGCCGCUGUGAAGUCCCAUCUGUCCACCUUGAGUGGUUUCUUCAGUAGUGCAGGCCGGUGUGGUCGUUUCAACAUCUCUACUGGUCGAGGCAACCCUUGCAACUGGGUCUGGGUUGAGGACUUCCACACCUCUUACCAGCGGUCUCAGGUCGCCACGGGUUACACCAAGGUUUUGGCUGUGCCCUUGACGUACAGCAAGUAUCAGGCCCUCGUGCUGUACCUGUGGUCACAGGUGGCGGUUGCUGGCGGUUUGUUGCCCCUUCUGGUCCUCUUGCGGGACCCGCUGUGUGUGCUGCUCUUGUGGCAGACCGCCCAGAGAGGUCACAACAUCGGGAAGCUGGGGGUGGGCGAUUUCGUAGAAUCUUCCCAGCCCAACCAGCUGUACUCUGGUUUUCCGCUGCCCCCUCAUCAGCACAGCACCAACAGCCACUGCAUGGUGCUGGCGUGGUGCAGCGGCACGCUCACCAUUCUGCUGCACCUGCUCUUUGUAAGCCUGGAACAGCACCUGGAGCACCUUAAGAGGCGGCUCCCAGUCGGGUGGCACCAAAUGUGGGUGGAGCACCCAGCAAUUUGGCUCAUCAUGGCCAUACCGCCCACAAUAUGUGCAGGGUGGUCCAUCAUACAUGCACGGACGCCUAUUGGAAGCACCUUCGUUGUUGUUUUUACUGCCACCACGGUUCUGCCGCCAUUGCUGAUCGGCAGCAUACUUGGUGAGGGGGGCCUGCUGCUCGGACAUGGAGACCAUGGCAGCAUGACUUGCGCCUAAUGUGGUCUGUACUGCUGCGGCGAUCAUUGCUGCCAGUUCAUCAGGUUGAUAGGAGCCCGAAGCUGUGGCGCUCUGACCACUUCCCCCUGUGUGGCCAUUUAGAAUCUGGCAGUCCUUGCUGUCAUGGGAGUUGUUGGUGCUGUGUUGCUUGCAGUAGAACUUAGACUGGCCGGAGCCACUGUCACUGUUUUUGCUUGGCUGCUUGUUCAGCCAUUUCUCCUUCUCAAUAGAUUGCUUAGACCCAGAGGCAUGAUCGCUGCUGGCAUGCCGCUCCCGCUCUGCCUGGGCUUGCUGCAGGUUGAUCCAGAUUGUUUUGGCAUCCACCACAAUGCUGUUCAGUUUCGAGCAUACCACCCUUCACAUGGAGUGAGCUCGUACUUGGUUCUGAUAUGCUCCCGCACUGCUGGAUCCAGGCCUUCAACAUAGCGCUCAGCAACAACUGCACAGGAAUAUGAGUCUCGAAUGUACGGCUCAAGCUCCCAUACCUGCUGCAGGUACAGCUGUGGCGAGCCGGUGUCCUGCCUGGUCUGUAAGUACUCAAGAAUCUUAGCUGUCUUACACUGAUGAGCAAAAGGUUCAUCUAAUUUUCCGAGAUAAUACUUGAGAAGGCUCUCACCGUCCAAUGCUGGCUUGACAGCAGUACUGCUGUCACACUAGUGUGCACUGCUGCCGCUACAUCCUCUAAUAAAGCCAAUCUUGCGGAGGGCAUGUUCGAAGCCUGUUUGAAGGAUAGUGCAGUCCAGCUGCAGAUUUUAUUCAUGAGGCAGGUAGUGGGGACGGCAUGGCCAUCCCACAGGCUGUUGUACGCGGAGCUGGCUGAACUCCCCUUACGAUAUUACAUGGUGAAGCAGAUUCUCCGUUUCUGGAACCGCCUUCAAAAGCAAGUGGGAUCCAUUGCUCAUGCCGUUUUACGGCAGGAGAUAACCGAUGCCCUGACCAACCCGGAAUGGGAGGGUUGGGGAAUCUCAAUGUUACGACUGUUUUCCUUCUUGGAGUGCAACAUUUGGAGCGGAAUACUGCAAGAAGUCGUGGGGGUAAAGGAGCGUGUUGACUGGUUGUUGAGUAGACCUCUACCAGAAGGAGCGAUAAUAACGGCACUAAGAGAGCGUUUGGUGAGUGGCUGGGACCAUACGCGUCUGACUGUCUUGCCAGAGGAGUACCCAUCAGAUGGGAAGCAACCGGGAGUGCAAAUGGCAAAGUAUAAGCACUGGAUGGGGCUGCCCUUUUCGGGAGCUGCAGCUGUCAUGUGGCCAACACAUGCUAAGGUUUUCAUUCCUCGUUUAGCACAUCGUAAGCUAAUGCAGUUUCGUUUAUGUUGCUGGGCUUUGGAGGCAAACAGAGCACGAAGAAGUACCAUGUCCUCAGGGGGCAGCGGUUUUGCCACUGUUGUGGUACUAAUAGCCGAAUUGAGGAUGAAAAACACGUGUUAUUGGAAUGCCCAGCCUAUAAUGAUAUUCGUGCUGAAGAGGGAUUCGAUCAUCAACAGAGUAUGUUGGAGGCCAUGCAAUGGGAACCUGCACGUCUGGCGAGGAUGUUGGAACGUAUUUGGGCUCACCGAAACUCAAUUACCCCCUUUGGACGCUAAUCUGGGCUGAUGUGCGGUGUUUCUCCUUUUCUCCGUGGCUUUUAGGCGUUGUAGUAUUGCCCUUGGGCCCUCGGCUCGUAUGGGUAGUCUUACAGGUAUGGGGUCACGCACCCCCCAACCAUGUAACACACACACACACACACACAUCCUCUCCCUCUGCACAGGCUGCCUGGGCAGCUGCAGUGUAGCGGAAGAUGAACCAUGCACGAGCAUCCUUAACUAAUGUGCAUAGUUGCUGCUUAUGCCAGAUGUCAUACAUAGUACCUGGUGUGGGAAAGGUGUUGUCAAGCCGAGAGCUUCAUCAACAGGCACCUGUCCUUUGUUGAGUCAGAAGUGUGCAUGCAGGGCUUGCAUUACAUGCAACACCCCCGUCUUAAAGGCAGGGAACUCCUAGCGACGGAAACGGAACAUGGUGGGUCCGGACCAUGAAGAGUCUGUGUUCUCCAUUUUGGUAACGCUGUACCAAGGGCUGAUAGAGGGUGAGGACUGCACGGACUCUCCUGAGAGUUUGCUUAGGAGUGGAAACUGCUGAGGUACCGAAGUGACUGCUGAAGAAGCUCGGCUGUGUAGCCGAAAUGUCGGACCCAGCUGUGAAUCAGGCGAGUAGCUGGCAGCAUGUUCACUCUCUGCUACUUCAGCUGCAUCCACGUGCUCCAGAUCACCGCUGCUGCCUGCAUUUUCGAUGCGUGCUUCUGAUAUAAGAAUGUUGCAUGACUCUGAUGCAGUACCGGAGUACUCUGGGUUGUCACGCCACUGCACCUCCUCCUCCAGCUCAUGCUGUUCAGUGACAGGUUCGAGACCUGGGUGAGGCUGCUCCUGCUGAGCAGGGAGGGACGGCCCCUCCUGCACUCCUUCUUGCUGCCUCGUGUGACCUUUCCUAGGGCGCGCUGGCGCAGUCGAAUGCUCGAUGGACCCAAUGGGCCAAGCUGAGCGAUGGGGAUUGAUGUGACGUAGAGAAUCUGCCAGCACUCACAAGAUAAUGAGACUCUUACAGGGCUCUAGUGAGAGCACGGUAGUCGGCAAUGUCCGGGGACACUGUUUCACUGCUGAGUCUGUAUGGCCGGAGCCUGUGUGCACGUACAAUGGUCCUGGGACACACACCAAUGCUCGGAACGAUUUGGUGGCUGAGUACGGCAAAGUGAAGUAGUCCUUCAACAGGUGGGGCCCGGCACAUGGAUGCGCCAACAGAGCCACCGCCAGCUAGUUCAACAGUUGCAAAAGAAACAAAAGGACGCUCAAUGGACAGUGAAGCGUAUUCGAUGUGCCUCGGAAGGCUGGCGAGCGGUGUCAGCUUAGUGCGCGGACGCGAAAGCCUAGCUCAACAGAUGGGCAACACCACCUGGAUAAGAUACAGCGACGGAUCGCUUUCAAUAAUAGCUACACAACAAACUCAGGUAACUGGCGUCAGAUCCCUUACAGUAAGAAGUAACUUCUUACGGCCGCCUGCUUCUGGACGACUCGUCGACCUUCUUGGUAGUUUGGCUGUGGGAAAUACUACGAAAUAAGAGCUUUCCUUAAAAGCUUUCGCCAGGCUUAACCGGCGAAAUCCGGCUGAGUUCACCUCAGAGAGCGCGAUCGUGGCAGGCGAGGACGGGCUGGGGACUAAUCCCUGUCAACCGCGACGGUAACAGCACUAAGAGCGGACCUUGAGAAAAGCCGUAUAGAUCCUCUGAUAAUUCUGCUCUGAUGGCGAAUGUGCGUCACGAGGUAGAGUGGGCUCGCAGGCUUGUUACAUAAAUCGGGCUUAGCUGCCCACCUGUGAUGCUAUUAUUCUUAAUAUUUUUGCUCAAUACGAUCACGAAGAGUUGCUUCGAGAGCCAAACGACAAAAGGUUGGCCUCUUCGCACUCACACUUAUGGCGAGGGAUCGACUGAUCCGCGCCGGGCCUUAUCGCACGAGGCCCUAUCCUGGAUGCGUAGCGUUCAUCCGACUAACGACAGAUGAAUAGCAAAUGAACAUCCUCAAACCACAACGGAAAGCGCCUUAUGCGCUAGUCAAGCAGUUCCCUAAGCCUCAACUGAAUUAAGACGCGACUCGUCCAACUACCUUCGGUUGGCUUCACCACCUGCGGAUAGCGACUAACUCGGUCGUGGCACAUAAUUUGUACGCUUCAGGUGUUUGGGCGUGACAGGGGUGCUUCGGGGAUAUAGGGAGGAGAAGGGGCGCCGGGGGAAUGGGGGGCUCUCUCUCUCUCUCCCUCUCUUUCAAGGAGCGGCCGCGCGGCUUGGGCGGCGUGGAAUGCUGCUGGCGCGCGGCCGGCGUGCGGCUUGGCUGUGUUCUUCUAUAGUGUAAGGCCUCUUGGAAGCGGGUCCCCUUUGUCGCUCUUUCACAGCACGUUCAUCCUGGUCAGCUUCGGCAGAGCCAUGAGAUCCAGGUUAAGGGGGACAGGAGCACGGAAAUGCAAUUCACCGCUGAUGAACCAAAAGCAUUAACCAGCUUAUACAGGCUUCCUACAGCACGAUGCUUUUGAGCAACGUGCAGGGUGAUUUAAGCGGCUGUUUAAGCAGGCCUUACAAACCUGCCCAUGCCCUCAGUACUGCAUAUCAAAUCAUUUAGUAACUUACUACCUUGCGCAUGCUACGCAUCACGCCCCAAAUGAGGCAUAAUUUGGUCUAAAUACGGGCGUGCACACAUGUCGCGCUUAUACUUGACAGAAGUGGCUAACGAAUUAAUGAAUAAAUAAAUGCGGGUAUUGCGGCACCAGCUAGUGCUGGCUGCCUAUGCAACUUAAUGGCGCGGUGGGCGCCAGCCUCUGCGAGCCUCAAAAGCUAAUAGGGGGCGGCCUCGUUGGAAGGAAUAAAUAUCUUGAGGAUGUGAGGAUAUCCAGGCAAGGACAAUCAUAACAAGGUGCUGAGUUUGUUGUUUACGUACCUCUGAUAAUGAACGUACUGACGGGCGCGUAAACAUACGCCAUACGCACGCGCAGUGUUCUCCAACACCCUUAUACGGCGUUCCAGCUGCUUGUCAGGCGCACUACUGCUGGUCAGGCGCCUCUGUGCCACCGAGAUAGACAGCUCUUCCUCAACCCUAAAAAUCACUGGAUUAAUAUUACAAUAAAUUGCUAUCUAUAGCUCAACAUGGUGUCAGGUUUCAACAGACGGAUGCCUUGGGGAAAAAGAAGGAAGACGUAUGCCCAACCGCAAGGAGCUGAAAAGGGCCCUGUAAGCGAAAGCCCUGCAGGCGGGGUGCAGCCAAAGAUUUAUGGCAAACGCCGAUAUUUGUUCGCUUUUGUCAAAACUAUGACGGUCGUGGCAACAGCCUGCAAAAGCGCUGUAAACGUCGCGCUCCACCCGCCUGUGCCAGCUGGCUGGGUGCCCUUGGUGCACGUUUUGUGCAUGGCGGUCGUCUUUGCCAUCCCCUGGGGCCUCUCGUACAUGGGUGCCAGCUUCAAGCACAGCAACAACGGUCCGAUUACGAUGCUUUGCGACCUACGCCCGGUCGAUGACCAGUUAAUGCAAUCGAUCCCCGUAGUCGGUGGUGCUAUUUUCACCUAUGACUAUAUUUAUUAUAAUCCCCUGCCGUCGUCACCAGAAGAGGAUUUUCCUACACCGCCGCCACUGCUACCACCGCCACAGCUACCACCUGAUCCUCCUCCCAAUCCUAUGCGUUUCGGCGUCAAGGACCAUAAACCGUCGCCAUUUCGCGACUGCUCCCCAUAUGAGGAUGUCUUCGACUACUCUGACAUGGCGGAAAUGCAGCCUCUUAACAACACCGCCUUUGUCUCAAUUGUGAUUCAGGUGAAUGUGUAUGUGUGUAUGAGUAUGCGUCUGUAUGUGUAUGCGUGUGUGUAUAUGCGUGUGCGUGUGCGCCUGGGUUGACAAGGUCUUCGCGCCUCUAUGCAGCAGCCUCUGUACAGCAGGCGACAUGUUAAUUCAUAAUCGAUCAUCCGUGACGAGCAAACGAUCGAGCUGUGUACAAUGGUCGGUGCAUUACUGUGCAACGUGCGCACCUAUAAUCCACGGCACCUUCCCGAAUAAUAUUAGGUAACCCGUCCCUAGCUAUUAUACGAGGGAUCAAAACAUUUACUGACCUCAUUAGCCAUCCAUGCCCUACCUCGUACGUAUGCAGGAUGUGGACGUGAAGAAGUUCGUGGCCAGUGCCCUCGUCAACGUGUGGUUUGGGGAGCCUCCAGAACUGUCAAGAAAGGCUCCCCAAUUUGAGAAUGGAACGCGCAGAUUGCUAGAUCCCCGCUUGACAUUGACAAUCACCAUCAACAACAGGGAAGUCAUCACGAUAAAAACGAUUGGCAAGGCGUCGUCUGCCCUAGAUAAUCUACCGGUCUUUGCAGAAAGGCAUCUUCGAAUGUAUCCCUUUGACAGGUAAGGUUCCUCUGUGGGCAAGCUGGGGUUCCUUUCUGAACCGCUGUGAGACCUCGCUACCUGAAAGAUGUUGCACUUUUAAAUUUCGUUAAAACCCACACAUCUGCUGCCUGUCUGCCUGUCUGCCUGUCUGCCUGUCUGCCUGUCUGCCUGUCUGCCUGUCUGCCUGUCUGCCUGUCUGCCUGUCUGCCUGUCUGCCUGUCUGCCUGUCCGUCUGUCUGUCCGUCCGUCUGUCCGUCUGCCUGUCUGUCUGUCUGCCUGUCUGCCUGCCUGCCUGCCUGUCUGUCUGUCUGUCUGUCUGUCUGUCUGUCUGUCUGUCUGUCUGUCUGUCUGUCUGUCUGUCUGUCUGUCUGUCUGUCUGUCUGUCUGUCUGUCUGUCUGUCUGUCUGUCUGUCUGUCUGUCUGUCUGUCUGUCUGUCUGUCUGUCUGUCCGUCUGUCUGUCUGUCUGUCUGUCUGUCUGUCUGUCUGUCUGUCUGUCUGUCUGUCUCUGUAUAUCUGUCUGUCUAUAUAUCUGUCUGUCUGUCUGUCUGUUGCUGCUGUUGACGGGGUGUUACACUGUGGGUGGCUCGCCCGCAGAUAAAGGACGAGCACCGGGGGCCCUGACCGGGGGACGGCUCCACUUCUGUCUUUUCCUCCGCGUACGCCUCACUAACUUGCUCACGCCAGCCGGGGCGCUCUCCCAGCCCCUGGCUAGGCAACACAGCAGCGCCAAAGGCUGCAAACCGUACUAAGCGAGAGCCGCACGAGAGGCUCCACACCCCCUCAGGGCUCCCUAACCAAGCUAUCUUCCACCGUUCCGCCUUGCCAGCCUAUUCACACGCCCUCAAACCUCAAGAACGCCAAAUAAAAACAAAAAAAAACGCCACCGGGUCUUUGUCAAAUACUCAAAAACCGAGGCAGGGGAAGACCUACCCCGCCAGGCCAGACAUGGCCCGGAAGAGGGAUGACCCCCCUUGUUAUUGCACGCGGCACAUGCCUGCCAGCUGUACAAGCGCGGUUGCUUCAUCGCGGUAAUCGGGUGUGGGCUACACACACUUGGCUGUGCAGCGUUCAAGACCGGGGGCAUUCAGCCUAAGCACAAAGACGCGUGGCAGUCGCUUACCGGUGAACCUGUAAGAUAUGCAAUACGCGAUGCAACCGCUAGCGUAUGGCGUACGGCUCAGCAUGAGGCCCCCGGGACUGUAAAUAAUGGAAACUCCAAAAGCUAAAGAAAAUGUCAUACUUCCUGCACUAGUAGUAGAAGUAUUUACCAAUUUUAUACUAUGCUCGACGCAGCCGGAGUAAUUACCAGGAAAGCUCGUCGGGGUAGGGCCCUACAUGUGCCGUCGUUCGUUGGCUCACUGCAGUCUGGGACCUGCCUGCCCCAGCUAACGCCUACGCUAUCUGUUCUGUCGUUCCCUAAAAGUGCGUAGUUAUAAGCAGUCGAUCCUAGUAUGUAAAUGUUGGCACCGGCCCUACAUCCCUCGUGGCGAGCAUUCAUAUGCAGCGAAUCCGCCUCACCACAUGCUGUACCGUGGUACGACUGAUCGCGCUUAUUUGUCCCUUGUAGGAACUAGUCCGACUUGCGACAUAUAACACUAUUAUUAUAAUUAUAUUUAUAUUUAUAUUUAUAUUUAUAUUUAUAUAUUAUUAUUAUUAUUAUUAUUAUUAUUAUUAUUAUUAUUAUUAUUAUUAUUGUGGCUAAUGCGAUACCGUUAGCCCGGUAAUGUCCUGUCCCAUAUAUUGCAACCCGCACCGUGCGUGCGCUAACGGUCACACGACACCAAAGUGAUGUUACAACCACGCCGUGCUUCCUUGCCGCUUCUAUCCCUUAGUACCUUCGGGCAAGUAGUUUUAAUUCAAAAACAUCGUGAGGAAAUUCCAAAUCCAAACAACUGUUGCAUGUAACAGGUCCACAUAUGCCGUCGUACUUCAUUUUGUACCAAUCACAGGUACAGGCUCUACAUCCGUGCGAGCAUGUCCUUGGCGAUAGACGACAACAGCACUUUCCGGCUUCCCUAUGUAAUCGCUGUCACCCAGAAGGGCUCUGGUAUGAAUUACUAUGUUCGCGAGCCACGUCGACGCUACCAAGCCUCCAGGGUGGGCAACCCCGCACUGUCCGAGGUCUUAUUCACAAUUUGGGGCGUGCGUACGAAAACGUCACGCUUCGUUUCCAUUUUUAUUGUGUUGCUUAUGUGGCUCCUGAGCUUCAUCGUUCUAACACGGGCUGUUUACACGGUGUCUAAGCGGCAUGAGGUCAGCAUGGAUGACGCGGGCCUUGCUGCAACAGUCCUGUUUGCAUUGCCCCAAGUGCGAAUCAUGCAGCCGGGUAUCCCACCUGAAGUUGGCUUGGUUAUUGACAUGGCAGGUUUCAUCUGGAACAUGGUCAUGGUCUCGGUAGCUUGUAUAAUGUACCUCUGGGUCAUGUACGCCAAAGCGGUGCAGAGGGAGCAGAGCAACGCAGCGGGGUCGCAAACGAGUGAUUCACAAAUCACCAUUGUUGUAGGUGAUCAAGACACUCCCGCAUGCGCACCAGCUGCAGCAGCUGCAGCCGCAGAUGUUUCGCAACCGGCCCCUGGAUCCGCUGAUUCCGGCGGGCUCGCUACUUCCUCUGUUACCGCUCCACAGCCUGCACCUGAACCUUCAUCUGCGUCACCUAAGCCCGCACCUCCCACUUUUAAUUCAGGGGAUCUAAUUGGAAUAAGUUAUUAAUUGCGAGGCCUCAUCCCCAAUCACUUCCUCCCUGGAGGAACUUAUCAGGGCCCAGGGCCUGGGCGCGAGGUGCUUUGGAAUAAUGUGCUUCUUGGUCAUGAAGUAUUGAUGGACGUUCUCCUGGGCGGACAGGCUGGAGGAGGAGUACUGCAGGUUUCGUUGCUUCAUGCAGCGCUCCGCUGGUUGAGGUAGACACUGCUAAAAAAAGGCUUGAGACGAAGAAACAUUUCCAGGCACUUCCGCCAGGUAGAUUAUUAUGAACACGGCACCAUAUCGGGACGGUUGCCUUAUGUGGCCAAUUUGCUUGCGCCAUGCUUGCACAUGUCACGGCUUGUUGUUAUGUACGGCAGGUUGUGGCUCGAUCGGUUUGUUACGGCUGCUUGGCAGCUGAGUCGCAGCUGAGAGGGGAUUGUUCGAGACUGUACUGAGAAGAACCAGCUGGAAAACGUAAAUCAGCAUACUGUGUUGCCUUCACUUAUUCAAAAAGCUCACUUGCGAAAUCGGCAGUGGUUAGGUCCCUGGGGGUCCUUUAUGUAGAUCCCCUGAAACCGCUGGUGCCGUACAUGACACACCUGCGAGGAGCUGUUUCCAGUAGACGAUAAAUAGACGGACAUAUUGUCCAAAAUCGAUUGUGACCGUUAUGUUCUAACCGUGAUCGUGCAAAGUUUUUUCCACUUCAACGGGUCAUGGGGUUCAGGGCGGGAGGUAAUAAAAUUCACCAAUUGGGUCAGGACCAGAGUCCAGGGAGGCCGCCAAUCAGCCACUCGUAACGCAACAGAGGAUGAUCAUCGGUGCCAUCCCAGACCAAAAUCGUGUAUGCAUUGGUCGCAUCCGACGACCUUGCCAGCCUGGCCAAAUUACAUGGCUUGGAUUUUAGUUUAGGGCCACAAUGUGUGUUUAAGCAAAACUGUCUGCCAGCCGUGCAUUACUCCAGCACCUGGCAGUGAUAGGAACCACAUAUACGGCAUAAUGUUGCCGCUCAUAAGGCCGCGAGCAAACUUAUACGGCGGAUGCGCCUGCUGGAACAUACGUAGCGAGCAUGUUUUACAAAUUUGUAAAAAAAACCGAUGUCAGGGUUAUAGUACGAGCCAAAGACGUGUCACAGGGUAAUAAGGAAGCGUUCUUGACCCUCGCCCGAAUCCGAAUGAAUUUCUGUCAGGAAGUGAUUCCAAGCAAGAAGCCAUAACAGGGAUCGCUCACGCAAUCAGCGCUAUAACUUGAUACACGGUGCGGUCAUGUCCACUGUAAUGAUGUGUCCACAAGGGGUAGCGGGCCACCGAUGCCACCUCCAUACACAUAAACAUGGUUUCAGCAUGAACAUGGCAUGUUUGGCACAGUGUGCCUUCACGUCACUAAGCAGCGUCUGCUCUUAUUACUUGCUGUGACACCUGCUGCAGCUAAGAACCGGAUGAGCACCUGACGAGUAACAAUCAACCAAAACCUAAGUGUAACAGCAGAGGCCCAGCAAUGGCUCCCGGGGGCACUUUGCGGCGAACAAACCGACAAACCAACCAGUCUCCUCCCCAAGUUGAGUCUGCAACGCAAAACGAGCGCAGCAGCGGAUGGCCAUUCGAUCUAUCAUACGGGAUACUGGAAGGAAAAAAGAAAAGAAAGAAACAUUGCAAACAACCUUUAAGGACAACAGUGUUAUUUUAACGAGCAGGGGAGCCUUCCCAGGUCGAAGUUCCAAAGGGCUGCAAUACAGGGGGGUGCAGGGGGCCCCCCGCUUCAAGACCAAGACCAAGUCAUCCACGCCGCGAUGCUACGCGCACGGCUGCAACACCAGGGUGCCAGUGUGCCAGCAGAAACUAUGCUAGACAGAUGGGACAGACAUACGGAUAAACAGGCGGGACAGGAAAGCCGCAGAGGCGGCAUCACAUGGCUCGAUAUUGUGCAACCGUAGUAAAACAGCACCUUUGCAUGCACAGAGAAGCCACACAUCAGUGCUUUGCGAGGCUCUUUUCACGUUGCUGCCGAUUGACGGAAGCACACACACGUACAUACAUACAUACAUACACACGCAUACACACAAUGGCGCCGAUGCGAUACGUUACCCCACCGUUAUACCCGCGCACCACCCCGCCAGAUAGAAUACUACUGCUCACUCGUGCCUCACUGCUCGGAAGCCGCACACUCCGACCACCCCACAGACGCACAUUUACACAAUAUACACACAUUUACACAGUAUACAUACACAAACAGGUAUAUGGAUGCUCACACACUUACAGAGACACAUACACACGCGUCUAUACACGAACACACACGCGCUGAAAAUACGACAGCAAGUUGCGACUUGAUGUCCUAGGUUCGAUCCCUCGGUACACCAGCUUGGGUGGUCCUCUAUGGAUCUAGAAAACGUGAAAUGUCUAAUCGCUUAGACGUUGACACAAUCGGUAAUCCCUACCUUCGAUUGGUGGCGGCUGAAGGCAGAAUCAACCGUCUUGGACUUGCAGACCGGGUAUGGCUUAGUAACCCAGUGUGGUGUUAUGCUGUGGUGGAUGGCGCUGUUUGGUGUUCAAUCCUAGUUGUGACCAUCCACACGUGUGUGCAAAUGGCCCAGAAGCCUCCCACUCCGCAUCAACAACAACAACAUGCAACAUUCACACACAUACACACACAUAAGUAAGUAGUAUCCUGGGUAUCACGGGAUCUAGCCUCCGCCGAUCGGUUCUUUUCCUGCGAUAAGACGUGAUACAAUAAAGUACGCGUGCCAUUGCGACACACAUGAACACCACGGGUAUGUAUGUAUGCGCGUGCACAUAUCCGCACAUAUGCGAAAAGUUUGCAAUCUGUUGCUGUGGGGCCCCCCAUUAUCAAAUUACGAUAAUUGCGAUACUUCAAGGCUGUCGACCAGUUCAGCCAGCUAAGCAAUAGGCUCGAAGCAAUACAACGACGCCAAUCAUCGUCCACACCCUCCGGAGGGUUGCUAGUCAUCACGGCAGCUGCCAUAUGUAGCUCUCCUCAAUGCCGCCAUCCCCUAUCCUGCCGCGGCCGUUAAUACGACACAGAUAGAAGCGCAAUAUAUUAAUAUUGAUCCAGUUUUAUAAUACCACAUAUAUGCAACAAACGAGCAAAUCAACAUACCCCCCCCCAUAAUAGGAUCGGCAGCUCUUACAUAAAAACAUCCUAUAAAAACAAGACAGACCAGACCGGGAGCCCCAAAAUCACAAUCACAUGACGGCUGUCCGGGUCCAGGGUCCGGGUCCAGGGCAUUUGUGUGAAGUGUGCAUAUAAAGAAAUAUAUUCGUUCACUUCAUAAGUGUUAAUCCUCAGGAGCAUGGACACAUAGGUAAAACCUCCUCGCAAUCCUUAGCAACUAUAUGCAUAUAUGCAUAUAGCACUUGAACCACGCAGAGAAUAAAAGUGAGGCACCCUGCAGAUGCCCGGUCCAUACCUGACAGACAGGACAUACAGAGUACCACACACACUCCGUGUGCUUCCCUUCUCCCCCCCCCCCAACACACACACCCCAGACGCAAUCACCCUCCUCCUCUCCCGAAUUGUUUGUCCUUUCCUCUUCAACCCUCCUCCUCCUCCGCCCCCUCCUCCCGAGACACGGACACGAGCAGCUGCAAGUGCAGUGCAGUAAUACGCUGCCUGCCGCCCAGCCCAGGGAGGAGGGUGAUGGAUGAACCAGCACAUGCGCAGCUCCCCAUUCUCCAAACCCCCCACUUGCGCACCACCAGCACCCUCCGGGGUAUGCAGAGGGGGGGGAGAGAGAGAAGAGAGAGAGAGAAAGAGAAGAGAGCAGGCAAUCAAGCAAACGUGAGCCUACAUACACACAUGAAAUGACGCGCUACAACUCCUGCUGCUGCCGCGAAGCUGCACCUCCUUGUCCCGAGUCCCUCGCUUUCCCCGCCCUUAAACCCUUUCCUCCCCCUCCUCCUCCUCCUCCUCGUCCGCGCCUCCUCGUCCCUGCCAGCGCAGACGCCACCGCCUGCGGUCGCGUUGGUUGCGGACGUAAGGCCGCGGACAGGCCGCGGCCUCUGUUGCACUGCAGCCGUCGUCUCCAUCAUCAUCGUCAUCGUCAUUGUCAUCCCCGUUGUCUAAUGCUGCUGCUACUACUACUGCUAGUACUGCUACUGCUACUGCUGCAAAGCCUCCUCGGGACUAGUCUCGCAAGCCGCCAGCUCCUUCCGAAGGCUGUGUCGUACCAGGAAGCCCCGUACGGCAGCCGCCACCGAGUUGGCCGCAUGGUACUGCCAAGGCACACCACCGGAGUCAGUGAGGUUCAGUGAGGCGGGCGAGCGGGAUAAAGUGGAGUGGAGUGGAGUGGAGUGGAGCGGAGUGGAGUGGAGCGGAGUGGAGUGGAGGGAAGAGAAGAGAAGAGGACUAUAGCAUGCAGGGUAGGGUUGGAGUGUGAGGUAAGUCUGUUGCUUAAGAUGGAAAGCAACAGACUUGGUACAGAGAAAGGGAAAUGCGGUGGAGUGAAGAGUAUGUGGCGUGAGCGAGCUGAGCGUGCGAGCACUGUGUCGUCCUCAAGGGGGCCCUCCCAACAGGAGUAACAACACACACUCGGCUGCGCUACAAUACGCUGAUGAAAUGAACCCCCUCUGCGCCAAGACCCCACCCCCCCCCCACCCAACCGCGGGUAACACACAAGGCCACUGCGAAUUACGAGACCGCUGCGGCCUCCGGCACAUGUUCAGUAUCGUAAGCAAGCUGACCAGGAACGAAGUUGAUGCGCCGUUGAUCCGCUAGAUUUGGUUGGAUGCUGGUGGUGAGUUGCCGACCCCAACGAAUACACUCUGAAGUCGGAUGGGGUGAAUGGAUUAGGGUGCCCCUCUAGCAGGGGAGAGCAGGGACUGCCCCGGGAAAGGGGGCCGCUGGCGAAGUUAACCACCCUGUAACAACAUACAUACAUACAUACAUACAUACAUACAUGCAUACAAAAACACAGGCACACACACACGCACACCCCAUCAUCGCGGUGCCUCUUCUCACAUGCGCUGAGGUGUACUUUGCGUGCGGCUGGGCUUUCGGCAGCCGCUUGCUGAGCUUCCUGUGCAGCUUGUCCUCCUCGGGCGGUGGCAGCGGUGUGGCGCACACACUGCCCGCCAGCGCGUGCAGCGUCUCCAUAAACGACACCUGCAGGCGGUGUGUGAGGGGUGAGGUGGGGGCAGAGGUGGAGGCGCGUAUGGGGGCAGGGGGGAGAUAAGAGGUAGAGGCAGGGAGAUCAGGAGCAACAGCUUGGGAGCCUCCAACGCUCUUCAAACCCUUUCAAGACCUCAACACACGAGGACGCCUAUACACGUAGAGAUAUACACGUACAGGAGCCUGAGCAGGUCCGAGAGAGAAAGAGAGAGAAAGAGAGAGGUGAGAGUGAGGGAUAUGGACAAGUCGUUGUGGGAAACGACCAAGCAAGGAAUCCAGGUGAUGAAGGGGAAUGCGAGGCAGAGGCCAGCAUGCCAGUCGGUUUUUCCUCGUUGCCCUCACACACCUUGUUGCCCUCGUAUAGAGGGACCCGAAGCCUCAGCAGCACGCGCUGCACCUCCUGCCGCGGGUGGUCGCUCCCGAGGGCCCCCAGCGGCGGGUGGCUGACCGCCAAGACACCUGCCAACCGAGAGGCGUGAAGCAAGCCGCCGACACCACCACUGCCGCCGCCGCCGCCACCGCCGCCGCCACCGCCAGGGCCAGCAGCCUCCGCCACGGAGGCGCACCAGGCCUUAGUAAAGCUCUCUAUGGCAGUCCUAGGCACCGGGCGAGCUGCUUCCGCUUCGUCACCGCCGUCAUCCGAUUCCAGAAGGUUCUCCCUAAGAACCGCAAUCACCAGCUGCAACAGAAUGAAGGUACACAGCACCACGAACACGGGGAAGUAGACGACGGCGGCGAAGGGACUGAGGGGGCAUUGGUUGUCCGUGGCGUCGGAGGGCAGGGCGGCCAGCAGCGGAUCCGAGGGGUCCAGGUACGUGCCGGCGGACAGGAAGAUGGUGGUGGCAGGGUCGGCUGGGGUGGAGUUGGCAGGGGCGGGGGUGGCGGAAACGGCGGACGAAGGCUGGGAGGUGGGUUGAGAGGAGGUGACGUUCCAGUCUUGCAGCACCAGCACGCAGUCGUCCGUGUUCAUGCAGUCCUGCAUGAUGGCGUCCCAGCCCUCACCGGUGAUCAUCCUGGACGCGAUGGAGGGAGAGGAGAAACAACACCAGAGGGAAGGUGACAACAGAAGGGGGGACAAGAUGGGGUUUCAGCGCAGGGGGGGCAUAAUGGUGCCAAAAUUUGGAAAUCCGGGAAAGGAAGGGGGAUUAAUAAAAUAUUUUUUCCUUGCAGGGGCCCGUUAGGUGAUGCAACGAGUCAAGAGAGGCGAUGGGAACCCAACUGAGAGCGGGUCUAGCCCGGGAAAGUCAUCAUCGUGGGUAAAGCCGGGCGUUCCUGAACAGGCAACAUCUCACCCUCCUCUGUUUCUUCGCAGGCCGACUUGACAGCGCCAUUCGGCAUUCGCCGCCUCUUCCUCAUUAUUUGACCGUCCAUGAAGCCCUCACCUCCCCGGCUCUUACGGACGCCCCUCCUCCCCCCCCCACCGGCACUUGUGACGGAACUUUUCUUAUUUUAAUACUAUAGAUACUUGCAAAUCUUAUCUCAUCAAUCUCCAGGCCCAAAAGUAUUUAGCAGUAAAAAACUCUUAUUUGUAAGUCACUGUAACUUGUAACUUGUGAUCUAACUAAUCCCACCGUGCACCCCUCGGACCCCUCCCCCUCCCCCCCCCCAUCAUGGUGAACCCACCGGAACAGCAGCAGCAUGGCGUUGGGCAGCGUGUCAAAGUUGGCGUGGUCGUUCAUGCUGUCACCGCGCUUGAUGCCGGCAAACAGGUUGACGCCGAUGAUGGCGAAUAUGAAGAAGAACAGCAGCAUCACACCACCCACAUUGGCCAGUGCCGGCAGAGAGGUAAUGAGGGUGUGUAGCAGCUUUCGCAUGCCAGUGGCCUGAACAGGCAAUGCAAGGAAAAAAAGCACCAGGCAUUGAGCGGAGGAGGCGAAAAGGAACACAAAGGGGGAAAACUUUUACGACGGAACGAUUACGAGGCCGUGAGAUAUCUUUCGCAUGCAGUGGCCUGAACAGGCAAUGCAUGGGGCAUCGGCCGGCCGGCUAUAGGAGGUCAUCACUACGUGGACGAGGGCGGCAGUGAAGCUACAGGCAGGCAGGCAGGCAGGAAGUAUAGAGUUCGGUCAACGGAAGUGGGAGAGAAACUGCUGUGUAAAGAGACGAAGCGCAACAGCUUCCACAAUACGCCUGUUGCCUGACCAGUUACCUGACCUGUUGCCUGACGAAAAGCGGGAUAUUGGUUUCGAAAUGCUUUCGGCCUGAAGCCUACCUAUUUACUAGGCUUGCACACAUAUUGUGAGCAGCGAAGACUCGAAAAUUAAAACUACAACGGAUAUUUAUAAGAGCCCUUGGCGUGCCAAAGACAAAGCGUGUAUGUCCGCUACCCUCUCUCGCCAACUACUAGGAGCGAGCUCAAAGAGCGUGCAGAGUGUGCGAGGACGGCACGGUCUCCGCACCUGCCGCACCAGUCGGACGACCCUGACCACUCUCAGCACCCGCAUCACUGGCAUGAAGCUCAGGUCACGAGUCCCGCUGAAGUCCAGCGCCACGGACACCGCCGACACCGCCGCCACGAAGCAGUCGAAGCAGUUCCAGCCGUCGCGAAAGUACGGCCGGGGGCCGAACGCCGCCACCUUGAGAACCGCCUCCACCACAAAGAUGCACGUGAACACGAGGUUGCUGUACGACAUAACGGCCUGUUGUACGGCGCAAGGCGAAGGAGCGAAACGGGCGAGGUACGUACGCAUAUGUGUACAUGUGAGGGUAGCGCAACUCUAGAACGUGUAAUAAACACACAUAUGCGUGUAUAGGAUCUCACAGCAUACGUGGAACUCACAAUUCUCAUUUCCAAGUUGAGUCCAAAGCCCAAAGUCCGCAUUCAUUCCUUCGUGCCAAACCAACCAACGGGCUCUGUCAUGCUCGCGACAACCCGAGCUGCCUGAGUUGCUUCCAGAGUCCCCCCUUCGAUAGCCCCCCCGCCCUCCCACACUAAAGCAGGGCAAAGCACCGCCCACAGCGCCCCCCACGGUACGAAUACACCCCGCCAAGACCCGCCUCAACCCCACCGGGGCCCCUCUCCGAACAUGUGCUGCUCUCAACUGAACACACGAAAACGAACAAAAACCAAGUCCUUACCACUCCCCGAAGCUCCCUGCCCCUUUUUUUCCCUCCCCAGCCUUCCUUUUCCCCCCCAUUCCAUUCCCGAACUCCCCUAUAUCUAUCCUAAUUUCCCCUAUCUUCCCCCAUCCCGCCGAACUCCCACCAGCUCCACCACCCAACCACCCAUCCCCCAUCCCUACCUGCCAUGUUGCAGACAUGUCCGUGUGAACCAGCGCAAUGAACACCACGUUCGACAAUAUGACCAACAGCAUCGACAACUCAAAGCGCCGACCCGCCACGGCAGAGUACACCGCCCCACGGAGGCGACCCGCCGGCCGCGGCGGCACGUACGGCACCUUGGAACGUAGCAGCAGCCGCUGAACCUGAACCCAGGACUGUUGCUGGGGAGUCAGGAAGGCCCCGCCCGCGGCGUCCUGCUCCGCUUGUAGCUCGGCAAACUGCGAGAGAGAGAUUGAGUCAGUUACAAAAGGUUUGGGCGGUAGGUUGGUUGGUUGGUUGCGGUGGUUAUUGUGUUGAUGGUGGUUAUGUGGUUUAGGGUUUGGUGCAAAGGCCCUAGAAGUUACAGGGGAAAUACGGGCAUUACGGACCGCUCCCUCGGCGAGUGGGGAAAGGCAAAUCUGCAAAAUCCAGGUAACUACCCACGAGCUCCAGGAAGGGGGCCGGGAUGGCAAAUCGAGAAGACAAAUGACAAGUGCGGGGGCCGGUAUGCGAGGGAAGAGAAGGAAAGAACGACGGAGAUGGUUACAGAGAGCGGAAAAAACCGACUUCAAAAUCGCACGGCAAAAAUUCAUAGCCCAACUACUGCAACAAACUGAGUAAUUCAGCCGGCAAUAUAUUUUAAUCGAUCAGCAGAAGGUCAAAAACCUUAGGGUUGUCUUCUUUAGUUCUUCCCCUUCGUAGCCCCGAAGGGGAACACCCCUUCGUCUCCGUCCUCUUUAGGGGAAGAAGGGGAACACCCCUUCGUCUUCGUCCCCUUUAGGGGAAGAAGGGGAAGAACCAAAGUCUUCCCCUAAAGUUCCCCUUUAGGGGAAGAAGAGCACUAAAGGGGAACAAAGACGUCCCCUAAAGGGUUGUCUUCUUUAGGGGAAGAACCAAAGUCCCUACUUGUUCAUCAUUAUCAUUAUUUUAAUGAUGACUUGGGAACACAACCCUUUGGUUCCCUUUGGGGAUGCUCCCCGAAGGGGAAGUCAUCCCCUAAAGGGGAACUAAAAGGGGAAGAAGGGGACUAAGGGGUACAUUCAAGGCGUUCCCCCAGUCCCAGACGCAAAGAGGUUAACGAC
rnacentral:lncRNA from 1 species